rnacentral:rRNA from 1 species
AGCAGUCGCCGCGGGAAUACGAAGGGUGCAAGCGUUACUCGGAAUUACUGGGCGUAAAGCGUGCGUAGGUGGUGGUUUAAGUCCGUUGUGAAAGCCCUGGGCUCAACCUGGGAAUUGCAGUGGAUACUGGAUCACUAGAGUGUGGUAGAGGAUAGUGGAAUUUCCGGUGUAGCAGUGAAAUGCAUAGAGAUCGGAAGGAACAUCUGUGGCGAAGGCGACUAUCUGGGCCAACACUGACACUGAGGCACGAAAGCGUGGGGAGCAAACAGGAUUAGAUACCCCCGUAGUCCCUGUCUCUUAUAC